GACGAACGCUGGCGGCGUGCCUAAUACAUGCAAGUCGAGCGGAGUAUUGUCUUCGGAUAAUAUUUAGCGGCGGACGGGUGAGUAACACGUAGGCAACCUGCCUGAAAGACUGGGAUAACUACCUGAAAAGGUAGCUAAGACCGGAUACGCCGUUGAGAACGCAUGUUCUUAACGGGAAAAGCGGAGUAAUCUGCUGCUUUCGGAUGGGCCUGCGGCGCAUUAGCUAGAGGUGAGGUAACGGCUCACCUAGGCGACGAUGCGUAGCCGACCUGAGAGGGUGAACGGCCACACUGGGACUGAGAAACGGCCCAGACUCCUACGGGAGGCAGCAGUGAGGAAUUUUCCGCAAUGGGCGCAAGCCUGACGGAGCGACGCCGCGUGUGGGAAGAA
rnacentral:rRNA from 1 species